GAUGAAGAACGCAGCGAAAUGCGAUAAGUAGUGUGAAUUCCAGAAUUCAGUGAAUCAUCGAAUCUUUGAACGCACAUUGCGCCCCUUGGUAUCCCGAGGGGCAUGCCUGUUCGAGCGUCAUUUCACCACUCAAGCCUGGCUUGGUGUUGGGCGACGUCCCCUUUAGGGACGCGCCUCGAAACGCUCGGCGGCGUGGCACCGGCUUUAAGCGUAGCAGAAUCUUUCGCUUUGGAAGUCGGGGCCCCGCCUGCCGGAAUACCUACUCGUAAGGUUGACCUCGGAUCAGGCAGGGAUACCCGCUGAACUUAAGCAUAUCAAUAAGCGGAGGA
rnacentral:misc_RNA from 1 species